rnacentral:rRNA from 1 species
AUACGUAGGUGACAAGCGUUAUCCGGAUUUCCUGGGUGUAAAGGGCGUGUAGGCGGUUUAGCAAGUCAGAAGUGAAAUUCCCGGGCUUAACUUGGGCGCUGCUUCUGAAACUGCUUUACUUGAGUGCUGGAGAGGAUAGUGGAAUUCCUAGUGUAACGGUAAAAUGCGCAGAUAUUAGGAGGAACACCGGUGGCGAAGGCGGCUAUCUGGACAGUAACUGACGCUGAGGCGCGAAAGCACGGGGAGCAAACAGGAUUAGAUACCCUGGUAGUCCGUGCCGUAAACGAUGAAUACUAGGUGUAGGGGGUAUCGACUCCCUCUGUGCCGCAGUUAACACAUUAAGUAUUCCACCUGGGGAGUACGGCCGCAAGGUUGAAACUCAAAGGAAUUGACGGGG